GUGGGGAUAGCUCAGUUGGGAGAGUGUCAGACUGAAGAUCUAAAGGUCACGUGUUCGAUCCACGUUCAUCGCA
rfam:Ipomoea nil DNA, scaffold: scaffold2144, cultivar: Tokyo-kokei standard.